CGAGCUCGCCGGGCGGCCGCGUUGGGGGUUAGCCCCCACCGAGGAAAGUCCGGGCUCCACAGAGCAGGGUGGUGGGUAACACCCACCCGGGGUGACCCGCGGGACAGUGCCACAGAAAGCAAACCGCCCGCCGCCGUUCUUCGCGGUGGCGGGUAAGGGUGAAACGGCGGUGUAAGAGACCACCAGCGCCCGUGGUGACACGGGCGGCUAGGCAAACCCCACCCGGAGCAAGGCCAUGCAGGAAGCGCCCGAGGGCUGCUCGCCCGAGCUUCCGGGUAGGCCGCUUGAGACCCACGGCAACGUGGGCCCUAGAGGGAUGGCCGCCCUCGACAGAACCCGGCUUACAGGCGGGCUCGUCCG
rnacentral:RNase_P_RNA from 1 species